UCGCACCACUGCACUCCAGCCUGGGAGACAGAGAGAGACUCUGUCUCAAAAAAAAAAAAAAAGUUUCCACUGUAAAUAUAAAUUUAGGAGGUAAAAGUGAUGAGUUUAAAAAGAGAGCUCAAGGAAUGUGAACAGGAUGGGAUGGAAGGAAGGAGUGAAAAGUUGACCCUCUGAAGCUGAUGUCAAGGAAGCUUUGGGAAUGUGGUUGCAAGAACAUUUGCAAGGUUGCAAGAAGUGGACAGAGAUCCUGCCAGAUGGCCUCAAUUUUCUCUGCUGAGUGGUAGGGGGUUGGGAAGGAAGCUUGGGGAAAGAGGUAAAACGUGGGCAUGAAUAUACAUGAGGACAGUGCUAGCAGGAGACUAGACAGGUAGGAGACUAGUCCCAAGGCAGUGCUGGGGCCCCAGCCUGGAGGCAGGGGAGGCUUAGUUCCUCUGACCUCCAACUCUUGGGACAGACAGCCUCACCACUCUGGCCCCUGAUGUGCCAAGAGCAGUUUUGUGGCCAGACGUACCAGGAUGCCAACCACCCCCACCCCCCACCCGUGUAGCAAGCAACUGUCCCAGCAGGUUUGUAUCUCCAGCCAUUCUCCCUCCCUUUCUGUGCCUGUACCUGCUGGGUGCCCUGCCUCCUCAUUAGGCAGGUCUGGGCAAUGGCUCAGCUAAGGGCGCUCCCACUCCACACCCACCAGGGCUGGCCCAGCCCCAGCCCUGACCAUGGAGCCAGCUCACCUGCACCACCUACUGGCGAGGCAGGGCAGGACUCCAGCGCCCUUCUGCUGCUAUUCCCUAAACCCCGCUUCCACACCAACAGCCGCUGGGACUUAGGGCCCACACUAGGACUCUUAGACUCCAAAGCAUUUCAGACCUGGAAAAGGCCCAGGUCACCAGUUGCAACCCCAGUUUUACAAAAGAAGAUACUGAAGCUAUUCGUUCAUUCCACAAAUAUUUAUGGGGCUACCAUUACGUGCUGGUGUAUCUGGCAUCACUCAGGAGCUAGGGACGCACUGGGGAGGUCCUGCCCUCAUAAAUGGAACAGGCCAGUGAGGAAGACAGAUAUAAAAUAAAUAGCCACAGAAUUAAAGAUAAGCUUUAAAUGGCGCAACGUUGGAAAGGGAAAAGUUUAUGAAUGAAUUUAUGGCUGGCAGAAGGAGGGCUCCUCUCUGAAGACAUGACCUUAAGACUGGAAACUGAAGGUUGAAUAUAAAUUGGCCAGAAAAAGAAAUGAAGGUGGGAGAAACAUUCUAGACAGAGGAAACAGUAUGUGAGAAGGCCCUGAUGUCCACAGCCUAUGAACAGAAGGCCCUGUCAACAAUGGGGCUCCGGAGCUCUGGGGCUCCGACUCACCUCAUGAGGAGAAGAGCCCGUGAGGCACAUAUCUGUUGUCUGGUGGGUCCAUCCCUCCCUCAUCCCCCUCAUCUCUAAAUGAAAGCCCUCCUAAGGGAAGGCAAUAUUGCUUGCUCUUACUUUAGUCGGUUUGAACAUAUGUAUUUUAUCCUUCAACUUCAUAAUAUUGUGAGUUCUUCCUCUCUUUCCUUUAGAUAGCAACCCAGAGAAUUUCACUGUUGCCCAAAUUUGACAGAAUAGCAAACCAAGAAGGUUGAUCAAGUAUCCUUGGCUUCAUUGAAACUAGCAUCUAAACCAAGACUCCCUGUGCUUUUAAACAGCAACACACCUUUAACUUCCUUAAACACCAGAAGGCUAUGCAUCAUGAAGCUCCAUGCAGACUCCACAGCACUAAUCAAGCAUAAGAGUCCUUCCACGUGUCACCCUUGGCUUACUAUAUGAACACCACACUGUUACCAACAUGCCUGGUUCAGUAUUAGGGUGGUGUGCCCAAAGUUCACUUGGAGGGCUAAGGGCCAGCUCAUGGUCACUUGGCCACAAUACCAUAAAAUGCACCCCUGAAAUAUGAACCUCAUCACAUGUGUGUAAAAAGACUAAGAGAAGAAAGGCAAGUAGGAAUGAAGUUAAGGGAUAUUCUUGCCUUUCAGGGAAAGUCAAUAAUGAAAAUUCCAGAUUUGGGAUCCAUAAGAAUAUUGGUGAUAAAUGAAAUGAUUGUGGGCAUUCAAUAAGGAAAAUGGACUAAUGAAUAAUAAUGAGCACUGGUGUUGGUACCCCACACACACACAAACACAUACUUCAGCAGUCACAGAAUUCCUCUUUCCCUCAGCAGUCACAGAAUUACCACGAUUGGAUGAUAGAUAGUACCUGUCAGUGCUCUUGUGGGUGACAAUGAACAGAAGCAGAGACUUGUGGCUAAUGGAUUACCAUCGGCCUGGAGGUAGAUCUCUGCAAAACCUACACGAGGCUAUGGUGGUGCGGAGAAACAGACACUACCUAAGUUGAGUCUGUUAUUCAUGUAUAAAGUGGGGGGGAUAAUAGUGCCCUCCUCACAAGGUUCUCGUGAAGGUCAAAUGGGGUGAUCUAUGCAAAAGUUCCUAAUACUCAUUGCCCAAUACAUGUGGAUACUUGGGGCAUGGGUGAUAACGAAGGAUUUGAAUAAAAAUGCUGGGCCGGGGUAAUCCCAACACUUUGGGAGGCCAAGGUGGGUGGAGCCCUUGAGCCCAGGAGACCAAGGAGCACUUCAAGACCUGCCUGGGCAACAUGGUGAAACCUUGUCUUUACGAAAAAUACAAAAAUUAGCCAAGCAUGGUGGUGCACACCUAUAGUCCCAGCUAAUCAGGAGGCUGAGGUGGGAGAAUGGCUCA
rnacentral:lncRNA from 1 species